rnacentral:rRNA from 1 species
UACGGGGGGGGCAAGCGUUGGUCGGAAUUACUGGGCGUAAAGGGCUCGUAGGCGGCCAACUAAGUCGGAUGUGAAAUCCCCAAGCUUAACUUGGGAACUGCAUCCGAUACUGGAUGGCUUGAAUCUGGGAGAGGGAUGCAGAAUUCCAGGUGUAGCGGUGAAAUGCGUAGAUAUCUGGAGGAAUACCGGUGGCGAAGGCGGCAUCCUGGACCGGCAUUGACGCUGAGGAGCGAAAGCUAGGGGAGCAAACAGG